UUUCCGUAGGUGAACCUGCGGAAGGAUCAUUAUUGUAUAACCGAGGUGCGAGGGCUGUCGCUGACCCGAAAGGUCGUGCACGCCCGAGUGCCCUCACACACAUCCAUCUCACCCCUCUGUGCACCUCCGCGUGGGUCCCCCUUUGGCUUGUUCGGAGGGGGGCUUGCGUUGUCACACAAACUUUGUAUGCAGUGUAGAAUGUAUUUUUUGUUUUUGCGAUCACGCAAUCAAUACAACUUUCAACAACGGAUCUCUUGGCUCUC
rnacentral:misc_RNA from 1 species